rnacentral:rRNA from 1 species
GGUGAACGCUGGCGGCGUGCUUAAGACAUGCAAGUCGAACGAUCGUCUUCGGACGGUAGUGGCGCACGGGUGCGUAACGCGUAACUGACCUGCCCCCAAGUUCCGAAUAACCCUCCGAAAGGAGGGCUAAUACGGGAUAUGCUGUCCCCUCCUGUGGGGCCAGUAACGGCUUGCCCGCUUGGGGAUGGGGUUGCGUUCCAUCAGCUAGAUGUUGGGGUAAAGGCCUACCAUGGCAACGACGGACAACCGGCCUGAGAGGGUGGCCGGUAACAGGGGUACAGACACCUGCGGGACGCAGCAGCGGGGGACAGUAGUUAGGGGGCGUAAGCAAGGGACGACAGUCUGACGGGGCGGCGGAGCGUGUGGGGUGAGGGAAGUCGUAUCAUAAGCGUCGAAAGCAGGGACGAAAGACGCGGAAGCGGGAGGAGGUAACCAGAGUAAUAGCACCGGCUAACUCCGUG